rnacentral:tRNA from 2 species
CGGAACAUAGCUCAGUUGGUAGAGCACCUGUCUUAUACACAGCAAGUCCCUAGUUCGAUUCUAGGUGUUCCGA